rnacentral:rRNA from 2 species
AAGCAGCGGAGCAUGUGGUUUAAUUCGAAGCAACGCGAAGAACCUUACCAGGGCUUGACAUGCCGCUGACCGGUUUAGAGAUAGACCUUUAUCCUUCGGGGUACAGCGGACACAGGUGGUGCAUGGUUGUCGUCAGCUCGUGUCGUGAGAUGUUGGGUUAAGUCCCGCAACGAGCGCAACCCUUGUCUUUAGUUGCCAUCAUUAAGUUGGGCACUCUAAAGAGACUGCCGAUGACAAAUCGGAGGAAGGUGGGGAUGACGUCAAAUCAUCAUGCCCUUUAUGUCCUGGGCUACACACGUGCUACAAUGGUCGGUACAACGAGAAGCAAGCCAGCGAUGGCAAGCAAAUCUCUAAAAGCCGAUCCCAGUUCGGAUUGCAGGCUGCAACUCGCCUGCAUGAAGUCGGAGUUGCUAGUAAUCGCGGAUCAGAAUGCCGCGGUGAAUGCGUUCCCGGGUCUU